UGCCAGACUCCUACGGGAGGCAGCAGUGAGGAAUAUUGGUCAAUGGGCUUACGCCUGAACCAGCCAAGUCGCGUGAGGGAAGACUGCCCUAUGGGUUGUAAACCUCUUUUGUCAGGGAGCAAUUGGCGCUACGUGUAGCGUUAUCGAGAGUACCUGAAGAAAAAGCAUCGGCUAACUCCGUGCCAGCAGCCGCGGUAAUACGGAAGGUCCGGGCGUUAUCCGGAUUUAUUGGGUUUAAAGGGAGCGUAGGCCGGCUUUUAAGUCAGCUGUGAAAGUCCGCGGCUCAACCGUGGAAUUGCAGUUGAAACUGGAGGCCUUGAGUGCACACAGGGAUGCCGGAAUUCAUGGUGUAGCGGUGAAAUGCUUAGAUAUCAUGAAGAACUCCGAUCGCGAAGGCAAGUGUCCGGGGUGCAACUGACGCUGAGGCUCGAAAGUGCGGGUAUCAAACAGGAUUAGAUACCCUGGUAAA
rnacentral:rRNA from 1 species